GUUGUAUGGUUAAGUGACUAAGCGUACACGGUGGAUGCCUUGGCAGUCAGAGGCGAUGAAAGGCGUAAUAACUUGCGAUAAGCCCAGAUUAGGUAGUAAUAACCUUUGAGUCUGGGAUUCCUGAAUGGGGAAACCCACUUACAUAAGUAAGUAUCCUGUUGUGAAUACAU
rnacentral:rRNA from 1 species